rnacentral:rRNA from 1 species
GUUUGAUUCUGGCUCAGGAUGAACGCUGGCGGCAUGCCUAAUACAUGCAAGUCGAACGGAGUGAAGCCUUCGGGUUUCAUUCAGUGGCGAACGGGUGAGUAAUACGCAGGGAACCUGGCCAUGGCAGGGGGAUACACUCUGGAAACGGAGCAUAAGACCCCAUAGGCAGUAAGGCGGCAUCGCCUUGCUGUUAAAGAAAGCUGAAAGGCUUUGGCGAUGGAUGGACCUGCGGUGCAUUAGCUUGUUGGUGAGGCAACGGCUUACCAAGGCGAUGAUGCAUAGCCGGCCUGAGAGGGCGGACGGCCACACUGGGACUGAGACACGGCCCAGACUCCUGCGGGAGGCAGCAGUAGGGAAUUUUCGUCAAUGGGCGCAAGCCUGAACGAGCAAUGCCGCGUGAGUGAGGAAGGUCUUCGGACUGUAAAGCUCUGUUGCCGGGGAAAAAGGGGAAAUGCAGGAAAUGGCAUUUCAUGGAUGGUACCCGGCCAGAAAGCCACGGCUAACUACGUGCCAGCAGCCGCGGUAAUACGUAGGUGGCGAGCGUUAUCCGGAAUGAUUGGGCGUAAAGGGUGCGCAGGCGGUCUGUUAAGUCUGAAGGCAAAGGGAUGAGCUCAACUCAUUUAUGAUUCAGAAACUGGCAGACUUGAGGACAGGAGAGGGCGGUGGAACUCCAUGUGUAGCGGUAAAAUGCGCAGAGAUAUGGAAGAACACCAGUGGCGAAGGCGGCCGCCUGGCCUGUGACUGACGCUGAGGCACGAAAGCGUGGGGAGCAAAUAGGAUUAGAUACCCUAGUAGUCCACGCCGUAAACGAUGAGGAGCAGGUGUUGGGAGUGAAAUCUCAGUGCCGAAGCCAACGCAGUGACUCCUCCGCCUGGGGAGUAUGCACGCAAGUGUGAAACUCAAAGGAAUUGACGGGGGCCCGCACAAGCGGUGGAGUAUGUGGUUUAAUUCGAAGCAACGCGAAGAACCUUACCAGGUUUUGACAUCGGAUGCGAAGGCGCAGAGAUGCGCUGGAGGCUAUCAUCCAGACAGGUGGUGCAUGGUUGUCGUCAGCUCGUGUCGUGAGAUGUUCAGUUAAGUCUGGCAACGAGCGCAACCCCCGUGGUAUGUUACUAACGCAUUUGGGCGAGGACUCAUAUCAGACUGCCGGUGACAAACCGGAGGAAGGCGGGGAUGACGUCAAAUCAUCAUGCCCCUUAUGGCCUGGGCUACACACGUACUACAAUGGCGUCUACAGAGGGAAGCGACCCUGAGAAGGGAAGCGAAACCGGAAAAGGGCGUCCCAGUUCGGAUUGAAGUCUGCAACCCGACUUCAUGAAGAUGGAAUCGCUAGUAAUCGCGGAUCAGCAUGCCGCGGUGAAUACGUUCCCGGGCCUUGUACACACCGCCCGUCAAACCAUGGAAGCCGGCAACGCCCGAAGCCGGUGGCAUAACCUUUUAGGAGUGAGCCGUCGAAGGCGGGGCCGAUGACUGGGGUUAAGUCGUAACAAGGUAGCC